rnacentral:rRNA from 1 species
AGCGAACGUUAGCGGCGGGCUUAACACAUGCAAGUCGAGCGAGAAAAGGGCUUCGGCCCCGAGUAAAGCGGCGGACGGGUGAGUAAUACGUAGGUAAUCUUCCUUCGAGCGGGGGACAACGUUCCGAAAGGGACGCUAAUACCGCAUAAGUUUCUCCGGUGUCUGCACUGGAGAAGGAAAGCUAGGUAGCAAUAUCCGGCACUCGAUGAGGAGCCUGCGUCGCAUCAGCUAGUUGGUGGGGUAACGGCCUACCAAGGCGAAGACGCGUAG